rnacentral:lncRNA from 1 species
UAACCUUUAAUUUUCUGUAACACUGACAAAUUUUAACAUCAGACUUCUUUGUAAAUUAAUUUAAAAAUUUUAUUUUUUAAAGUGGGUGUGUUCUUUUUUCUGUAGAUUUCACCAGACAAGAAUUUUGGUUGUAAAAUUUUAAAAUCUGCUUUUUAAGCCAUUUCAGCAUAUUCAACUCUUUUGAAAGCAGAUGCUGUUUUUCUUUUUGCUGCUGCUGACUAUGAAAUUGAGUAUUUCUGGCACUUGAUUAAUUAAAUCAUAAAUUGUAACCCAGACUACUUUGUUUUGCAACCAAACUUCUGUACAAAACAUAUGGGAAGACCUUACUCAUGCUCCCUGGUAUGAAGUUUGGAAGAUAUUUUAAAUAAGAUAGUCUUUGAAAGAGGCAAGCUUUGGGAAUGUUCUGUUCUUUGCAGCCUAAUUAAGGCACUCCGAUAACUCUUUUGUCCCUUUUGAUUAUUUCCCAAGAGCUCAGUAGAUCAAAUCCAAAGUCAUAGGUCUUCUGCACAUGGCCUCAGCAACGUUUCCCAGAGUAUUUUCUGUGCUGGUCUCUACCACAGGUCUGACUCCUCUAACCUGUAACACUAUUACGUUCUGGCUUUGAUUCUUCCCAGUUUUGUGGGACCUUGCUGCUUAUGACUGAUCUCUUAUAUGGCUAUAUACACCCAUCCUCUGUGACUCUGUCCUUGAUACAGUCUAUUCCUCUGAGCACCAUACUACACUGAUGUAAUUGCACUGAUAUUAUUGCAGCCUACUGCAGUUUUAUAGCUAUCAGACUAUUCCACCAGUGUGAUAGUCUUUAGAGGGAAUUAGGCAGAAUUGGCAUACAGAAUCAUGGGCCUCCAUUGUAACAAAAGUAAGAUAUAUCAAUGGAAGAAGACCAUAGAUUUGCAUGUAUAAUAAACAGUCCAAAGCUUUCUUACAUUUGCCAAUAUUUGAUGAUUGCUCAAUAUGUAGUCAUAAUGACUACUUUAACAAUGGAGGCCAGUUAUAUUGUAUGUUAAUCUCUUAGAGCUUCAUAUUCACCAGGUGAUCAAUAAAUGCUUUAAAAAUAAGUAUUAAGUGAGAUGUGGAGUCCUAUUCUAUACCUAAGUGGUAAUGACUGUCUGAAAUUUGGUUAAUGUUAACCUGCCUAAUUUUGAUACUGAUAUAUGGCUAUGGUCCUUCAUGUUCAAAGAGCUACUCACAAUCCAAUAACAAGGGCAUCACCUAUGAAUAUGGAAACAUGGAUGCUACUCUGAACCCACCAUGUCUGACUCUCUAUCAUAAGAAAAACCCAAGUGACUUGUGUGGGCAUUGAAAUUUAAGGAGUGCAGGCUUAGAUGGACAGGUGAUGAUACUUUUGUGUAGUAUAAUGGGUGGUAUUUUAGUUCAUUAGACAAGGAGGAAGAGACUCCUUGAUAAGAACAUAAACUUCAAGCAUCAACAGGUAUCCUCUGAGAUGCUGAGUUCUUUUGGGGAGGAAUGUAAAUGGACUGUUAUAUAAAACUAAGUUACAUUCUGAAAAAAGCAGGAAUAAGUUUGCCCACUCUGCUUUUAUAUUGUGAUACAUGUCCACAUCUCCUCCUACAUUUGUCCCAAUGAGCUUGGUACACUUCUUUCUCAGAGUUGCACCCAGCUAGCUAAUAGCCAUUGCAGGCUAAAUAAGGCGAUCUGAGGUUUAAUAGUAAAAAAGUAAAUACCGUUGUAUAAAACCCAAACCUUAUUUAACUCUGUAUUGGAAAUAAAUUCAGGUAUACCCGAGACUUGAGCAUACAGAUUUAAGACACUGGUUUAAUAUUAUAAUGCCUCUGACUUCUUCAAGUCCAAUCACUAUGCGUGAGUCAUUAAAAAUUGUUAAUGACUUCCAUAGGGUUUUGCUCUUAAUUAAAUCUUACAUGCUAUGUAAAAAAUACUUUUCAAGUCUAUUUCAUUACCAGCUGAAAUCCCUUACCCCAUCUUCUUUCCCAUCUCUAGUAUUUCCUUUCUCUCUGAUUUGUGUAAGUCUGAUGGAGGAAGAAAGGAAGAAUGGUCUAGGGGGUAGGAAAUAAGAAAUCCACAGGAAGC